UGACGUAGAUGCUAGUCUCUGAGAUUAAGCCAUGCAUGUCCGGUGAACUUYGGGGAACGACGAACGGCUCAGCAGUUCUGCGAUGAUUUGCUCUCUGCGGACGAUAACCACGGGAAACUGUGGCUAAGAGCGGAGAAUAAGACGCGGACCUAUCAGCUUGUUGGUAGUGUAAUGGACUACCAAGGCGGUGACGGGUGACGGGAGAUGGGGGUCUGAUUCCGGAGAGGGAGCCUGAGAGAUGGCUCCCACGUCCAUGGACGGCAGCAGGCGCGGAAAUUGCCCACUCCCGCGUGGGGAGGCAGUUAUGAGACGUGGCUCAGGACCCGACAGCAGAGGUGUUGGGGUGAGGCGACCGGAGGGCAAGUUUGGUGCCAGCAGCCGCGGUAAUACCGACUCCGGGAGUGUCUAUGGUGGAUGCUGCAGUUAAAAAGUCCGUAGUUGUGGGGGCAGUCACGGCGCGGGGAUUGAGCCCGCAGGGUCUGCCGUCGGUGGCGGAGCGGACAGGGGGCGCGGUAUAGGUGGGCGAGAGAUGAAAUGGCCAGGACCCCAUCUGGACGAGCGGAGGCGAAGGCGGCGCCCCUGGACGGGUCCGGGGAUCAAGGACGAAGGCUGGAGGAUCGAAGGUGAU
rnacentral:rRNA from 1 species